GCCGACUUAGCUCAAUUGGCAGAGCAAUUGAUUUGUAAUCAAUAGGUUGUAGGUUCGAUUCCUAUAGUCGGCA
rnacentral:tRNA from 1 species